rnacentral:rRNA from 2 species
AAACUUUCAACAACGGAUCUCUUGGUUCUGGCAUCGAUGAAGAACGCAGCGAAAUGCGAUAAGUAAUGUGAAUUGCAGAAUUCAGUGAAUCAUCGAAUCUUUGAACGCACAUUGCGCCCUCUGGUAUUCCGGGGGGCAUGCCUGUCCGAGCGUCAUU